rnacentral:rRNA from 1 species
AUUGAACGCUGGCGGCAUGCCUUACACAUGCAAGUCGAACGGUAGAGGGGGCAACCCCUUGAGAGUGGCGAACGGGUGAGUAAAGCAUCGGAACGUGCCCAGUAGUGGGGGAUAGCGCGGCGAAAGCCGGAUUAAUACCGCAUACGACCUAGGGGUGACACGGGGGGAUCGCAAGACCUCUCGCUAUUGGAGCGGCCGAUGUCAGAUUAGGUAGUUGGUGGGGUAAAGGCCUACCAAGCCGACGAUCUGUAGCUGGUCUGAGAGGACGACCAGCCACACUGGGACUGAGACACGGCCCAGACUCCUACGGGAGGCAGCAGUGGGGAAUUUUGGACAAUGGGCGCAAGCCUGAUCCAGCCAUGCCGCGUGCGGGAAGAAGGCCUUCGGGUUGUAAACCGCUUUUGUCAGGGAAGAAAUCCUUUGAGAUAAUACCUCGGGGGGAUGACGGUACCUGAAGAAUAAGCACCGGCUAACUACGUGCCAGCCGCCGCAGUAAAAC